AGCUCCAAUAGCGUAUAUUAAAGUUGUUGCAGUUAAAAAGCUCGUAGUUGGAUUUCUGGCAGGAGCGGCCGGCCAUGCGCUCUGCGCGUGAGUUUGCGCUGUCUCUGGCCAUCCUCGGGGAGAUUGCGUUUGGCAUUAAGUUGUCGGGCGUGGGAUACCCGUCGUUUACUGUGAAAAAAUUAGAGUGUUUAAAGCAGGCUUAUGCCGUUGAAUAUAUUAGCAUGGAAUAAUAAGAUAGGACUUCGGAACUAUUUUGUUGGUUUGCGUUACGAAGUAAUGACUAAUAGGGACAGUUGGGGGUAUUCGUAUUUCGUUGUCAGAGGUGAAAUUCUUGGAUUUCCGAAAGACGAACUACUGCGAAAGCAUUUACCAAGGAUGUUUUCAUUAAUCAAGAACGAAA
rnacentral:rRNA from 1 species